CCUACGGGAGGCAGCAGUAGGGAAUCUUCCACAAUGGGCGAAAGCCUGAUGGAGCAACGCCGCGUGAGUGAUGAAGGCCUUCGGGUUGUAAAACUCUGUCAUUCGGGACGAACCGGAGUCUGAGGAAAUGCAGACUCUCUGACGGUACCGGAGGAGGAAGCCCCGGCUAACUACGUGCCAGCAGCCGCGGUAAUACGUAGGGGGCAAGCGUUGUCCGGAUUCACUGGGCGUAAAGCGCGCGCAGGCGGUGAUGUAAGUCUGAGGUGAAAACCCGAAGCUCAACUUCGGGACUGCCUUGGAUACUGCGUCACUUGAGGAUAGGAGAGGCAAGGGGAAUUCCACGUGUAGCGGUGAAAUGCGUAGAGAUGUGGAGGAACACCUGUGGCGAAGGCGCCUUGCUGGCCUAUUUCUGACGCUGAGGCGCGAAAGCGUGGGGAGCAAACAGGAUUAGAUACCCUGGUAGUCCACGCUGUAAACGAUGAGUGCUAGGUGUAGGUGGGCUCAUACCCAUCUGUGCCGAAGCUAACGCAUUAAGCACUCCGCCCUGGGGGAGGUACGGUCGCGAGACGUAGAACGUACGAAAGGAAGUUAGACGGACGUUGAGGACGNGCCGACGGACGACGACGAGGGGAGGUAGGGAG
rnacentral:rRNA from 1 species